UUUUUGUUGCUGAAUUUCAUAUAUUUUUGUAUGAAGGUUUGAAUAAAAACCUUAAUGUUUAACAGUGUCUUACUAAAAGUGAAGAGUCCAAGCUAAGCAAGGAUGACUUUAGCAUGUGCUCUGCAACCAAAAUGUAGAAGAGGUCCAUGACUCCUGUGUGCGGCUGCGAGCUGCUGUAAUUAGAUCCCACAACCAAUGUCUCCCCAUCCCUUAUUUUACUGAAAUUCAUGAUUUCCAUUAUAAUCCAUCAUCACCUCGGAUUCUGAAGAACGAGAAACAAACCAGCUCAACAAGUUGUGUUACUUUCAUGAAGGAAAUUCAGAAAUUGGGUGAGAUUGCAAAAGAACCUAUGUCACAAGAUGAUAAUCGAGCAAACUCUAUUAACCUCCGGAUUCAGCAGACAGAAUUCAACUAAAUCAUAUCAUUUAUGACAUAUCAAACAAAGUAUGUUGAUGCAUUCCCUUAGUCACCAAAUUUCUUGGUAAAUAUUAACACUUACUCUACAUUCUUUUUUAUUUUCCUGAAUAAAUCCUUUUUCAAUGUAUUUAGUACAAUUAUAUAACAUAACUCAUAUAUAUUACAUAAGCAAUCAAACAGUGAACGAAAAAAGCAUGGAUUGAAGACUGAUUACUAUUUGGUGAUAUUGAACUUUUCUCUCAAGGAACAAGCUGUUCCUCUGUAAAAGAGAUCAAUAGAAACCUGCAAAAUGAAUACAAGAGUCAGGACAAAAUUGCAGCCAUGAAAGUUCCAACCAAGAUAAAUGAAAAAGUAGUUAAGAACUUGGACUUGGUGAGGAUAAGAUUAAUUGUAAUAUCAUAAAGAGUUAAAGAAUUUGUUGCUUGUGUUUCAUAUUACUGCUAAAGAGGAGAAUACUUUCAGUAAUGAUGCAACAGCUAAAGAUAUUAAACAGACAUAAUGAGGAAAUUCAGAUUUUACUUCAGCAAGCAACCUGCAGUGCAUGGAGUAACUGUGAUACUUACAUCUGGCAACCAAGAUGUCUGACAUCAAUCCCCUAAGGGUGAGAGCAUUUCAGUUUUUGAUUAUUGUGGAGAAAAAAUUUCCGCAGCAAAGCGCGGGCAGAAUUUCUAGUUUGCCGUAAGAGGGAUGUCUCUUGCUUUGUCUUGAGGGGAGUGCUUUGGUAUGCUUGGCCCUAAUUUUGCUGGGAAGACCUCUUUUAUUAAUAUGAUGAUUGGUCUGACAAAGUCAACCUUUGGCACGGCUUUUGUUCAAUGUCUGGACAUCAACACUCGGAUGAAAUAUAUACCAGCAUGGGAGUUUGUCCAUAGCAUGACCUACUAUGGGAAACCCUGACUGGAAGGGAGCAUCUGCUUUUUUAUGGAAGACUUGAGAACCUCAAAGGUUCUGGAUUAAGACAAGCAGUGGAAGAAUCUUUGAAAAGUGUCAAUCUGUUUCAUGGUGGGGUUGCAGACAAAAGAGCUGGAAAGUAUAGUGGAGAUUGUUUAUAUGGAUGAGCCUAGCACUGGACUCGAUCCAGCUUCAAGACAUAAUCUAUACGGGCAAAACAAGAUUGUGCGAUCAUCCUAACAAAUAGCCACAGACAGCGGAUAAUAAGUUGGAUUGAUGGCACAAGACAGCUAUCAGCUACAUUUGACUUCACAACCAAGGGAGUUCUUCAGGUAUCAUCCAUUUUUAAUCGGUCUGAGAUGUUUGACUCCCAGCUGACUGCUACACCCACAUAUGCACACAUAAAAUCUCUCUCUUGAGUGAACAUCUACAUUUGUUCUUGUUUUGACCAUUGGAUAUGAGUCCUGGCCAUUAUAACCAUUAGUAUCCAGUAAUUUAUGCCAAGUUUCCAAACAUUUUUGUUAUGAAUUUGUUUAUUUCUAUAUAAGAAACUAAAAUAGGCAACUAUU